CAUAUCUCCCUGUGGCUGGCGCUGUGCCACCGGACCUGCCGAACGAUGCAGGAGCUCUGGGACGACGCGCUCACCCCCAACGCCACGCUCCGGCGGCUCAUUGCCGUAUGGUUCUCUCGUCGAUACACCCGCUUCAAGAAGCGCUCGGCUGACUACCACGGCCGCGCCGCCGACCUUGUCCACGGUCUCCGCGGCACGACCGUCCCGAGGAGGCAUCCCUUCACAAGAGAAAUGACUACAGGACUCCAUUCUUAG
rnacentral:rRNA from 1 species